ACUUGACCUCAAAUCGAGUAGGACUACCCGCUGAACUUAAGCAUAUCAAUAAGCGGAGGAAAAGAAACUAACAAGGAUUCCCCUAGUAACGGCGAGUGAAGAGGGAAGAGCUCAAAUCUUGAAUCUGGCGUCUUCGGCGUCCGAAUUGUAAUCUAGAGAAGUGUUUUCCGUGACGGACCGUGCAUAAGUCUCCUGGAAUGGAGUGUCAUAGAGGGUGAGAAUCCCGUAUAUGGCACGGACUCCCGUUGCUCUGCGAUACACUCUCGACGAGUCGAGUUGUUUGGGAAUGCAGCUCUAAAUGGGUGGUAAAUGCCAUCUAAAGCUAAAUAUUGGCGAGAGACCGAUAGCGAACAAGUACCGUGAGGGAAAGAUGAAAAGCACUUUGGAAAGAGAGUGAAACAGUACGUGAAAUUGUUGAAAGGGAAACGCUUGAAGUCAGUCGCGCCGUUCGGGAUUCAGCCUUGCUUCUGCUUGGUUUACUUCCCGUUGGGUGGGUCAACAUCAGUUUCGGUCGGAGGAGAAAGGCUUGGGGAAGGUGGCAGCAUUCGUGCUGUGUUAUAGCCCCUUGUUGUAUACUUCGACUGGGACUGAGGACCGCAGCACGCCUUUGGCCGGGGUUCGCCCACGUACGUGCUUAGGAUGUUGGCAUAAUGGCUUUAAGCGACCCGUCUUGAAACACGGACC
rnacentral:rRNA from 1 species